rnacentral:rRNA from 1 species
GACGAACGCUGGCGGCGUGCUUAACACAUGCAAGUCGAACGGAAAGGCCUCUUUCGGGGGGUACUCGAGUGGCGAACGGGUGAGUAACUCGUGAGUAACCUGCCCUUGACUUUGGGAUAACUUCCGGAAACUGGGGCUAAUACCGGAUAGGUGCUCCUGCUGCAUGGUGGGGGUUGGAAUGUUUCGGCGGUUGGGGAUGGACUCGCGGCUUAUCAGCUUGUUGGUGGGGUAGUGGCUUACCAAGGCUUUGACGGGUAGCCGGCCUGAGAGGGUGACCGGCCACAUUGGGACUGAGAUACGGCCCAGACGCCUACGGGAGGCAGCAGUGGGGAAUAUUGCACAAUGGGUGGAAGCCUGAUGCAGCAACGCCGUGUGCGGGAUGACGGCCUUCGGGUUGUAAACCGCUUUCGCUCAUGACGAAGCUUUGUGUGACGGUAGUGGGUAAAGAAGCACCGGCUAACUACGUG